ACAAACUUGGUCAUUUAGAGGAAGUAAAAGUCGUAACAAGGUUUCCGUAGGUGAACCUGCGGAAGGAUCAUUAUUGAAUAAAUUAAUCAAGUUGUUGCUGGCUUCCAGUUAGGGAAGCAUGUGCACACUUGAUUUAUAUUUCCAACCACCUGUGCACUAAUGUAGAAUUGGAAACAAUUUUCAAGUAAUAACUGACUUGAAUUGAGAAUUGCUGAGUGAAUCAAAGCCAGCUUUUCUUUAUGUUUCAGAUUCUAUGUUUUUUAUGUAUACACCAAUAGCAUGUAUCAGACUAUUGUUUAAUUGAGCAUAUAUGCUCUAAAUUAAAUAUAACUUUCAACAACGGAUCUCUUGGCUCUCGCAUCGAUGAAGAACGCAGC
rnacentral:misc_RNA from 1 species